rnacentral:misc_RNA from 1 species
GAUGAAGAACGUAGCGAAAUGCGAUAAGUAAUGCGAAUUGCAGAAUUCAGUGAGUCAUCGAAUCUUUGAACGCACAUUGCGCCCUGUGGUAUUCCGCAGGGCAUGCCUGUUCGAGCGUCAUUUCAGCCCUCAAGCUCUGCUUGGUGUUGGGCCCUGCCCGCUGCGGCCGGCCCUAAAGACAGUGGCGGUGCCGCCUGGCCCUGAGCGUAGUACAUCUCUCGCUCCAGUGCCCGGUGGUAGCCUGCCAGAACCCCAACUCUCGUGGUUGACCUCGGAUCAGGUAGGGAUACCCGCUGAACUUAAGCAUAUCAAUAAGCGGAAGA